AGUCGAGGGGUAACAGAGGAGCUUGCUCCUGCUGACGACCGGCGCACGGGUGCGUAACGCGUAUACAAUCUGCCUUGCACUAAGGGAUAGCCCAGAGAAAUUUGGAUUAAUAUCUUAUGGUUUAUAAUUAUGGCAUCAUAUUUAUAAUAAAGGUUACGGUGUAAGAUGAGUAUGCGUCCCAUUAGUUUGUUGGUAAGGUAACGGCUUACCAAGACUACGAUGGGUAGGGGCCCUGAGAGGGGGAUCCCCCACACUGGUACUGAGACACGGACCAGACUCCUACGGGAGGCAGCAGUGAGGAAUAUUGGACAAUGGAGGAGACUCUGAUCCAGCCAUGCCGCGUGCAGGAAGACGGUCCUAUGGAUUGUAAACUGCUUUUAUACAGGAAGAAUAAGGACUACGUGUAGUCUGGUGACGGUACUGUAAGAAUAAGGACCGGCUAACUCCGUGCCAGCAGCCGCGGUAAUACGGAGGGUCCGAGCGUUAUCCGGAAUUAUUGGGUUUAAAGGGUCCGUAGGCGGGCUGUUAAGUCAGGGGUGAAAGUUUGCAGCUCAACUGUAGAAUUGCCUUUGAUACUGACGGUCUUGAAUUAUUGUGAAGUGGUUAGAAUAUGUAGUGUAGCGGUGAAAUGCAUAGAUAUUACAUAGAAUACCGAUUGCGAAGGCAGAUCACUAACAAUUGAUUGACGCUGAUGGACGAAAGCGUGGGUAGCGAACAGGAUUAGAUACCCUGGUAGUCCACGCCGUAAACGAUGGAUACUAGCUGUUUGGAUUUCGAUCUGAGCGGCCAAGCGAAAGUGAUAAGUAUCCCACCUGGGGAGUAC
rnacentral:rRNA from 1 species